GAAUCCUCACAAAGGAGGAAGUUCAUUUAAAGAAAGUAUUUAUUUUUUGAAACCAAUGCUCCAACUUUUGUUAAGUGUAGUUCAAAUUCUGAUUUUCCUCCAGGUGGCAGGUGAGAUCAUAUGGAAUGAAGCAUUUUCAAAUAUAAGCCAAGAUUUCUCACAUCCACGUCAAUCUUAAUAUAGUUUUACCUAACUAUUCUUGGAAGUCCAUGCAUACCAUGAAGCAUUUUCUUCAAACCAAAACAAUCUAGACUUACUUCAAUUACAAGAGGAGUGACCUGCAGAGCAUCCAAGCACGUACAUGAGCAGGACUAUAGAAUGCCUUGUCCAAGCUACUGGUAGGAAAAAACAGCUUUUCUUCAGCCUGCUCCUCCUACGUCUGGGGUUUUCUUAAAGCAUUUCCAAACCCUGGCCAAAGAUCAAGAUACACUCCAGUUUUAUUCUCUAAACAAAAACAAAAACCAACAAAAAGACCCCCAUCAAAUAACACAAACCCCACAUAUAUCACUUUCUUCUGUUUGUCAAUAUGUAUUGGUGUGUAUUCUGGAUACAUCUCAUAUGUACUGUGCACUAGGACUUCUGCACAUAUUGCAGUGCAAACUGAAAAAAAAAGAAGUUCAUGGGGGAGAAAGGGGUGUUUGUAUUUUAGUUGAAGUACAGCAUGGCACUUAUCUGGUGAUUCCAGUAGAGAGGGUAACUUACUGUAACUGAUAACAAAACCUUUUGAGUAAUUUAAUUGGUACACAGAUUUGGAAUCAUGUAAAAUAUUUUUCUUACUUCUAGUAAAGCUAUAUGAGUGCACAUAUACAUUUAACUAUAUAGCUGAGUAACUUAGAAUAGGAGAGAAUAUAAAUAAAAUCACCUAGAGAACCAUUAAAUGAUAUUAACAAAUACAAGUCAUUGAUGUGUCUCCCUUGUGUGCAAUAAAAGUUGUAGUGGAGAAAAAGGAGAAGACAGUGCGAAGAAUAAGCAAGGUACUUUCCAUAGAAGAUGCAGGUUAAAUGAACAAAGAGGUAUGGUGAACAUCCCUCGUUUUGGUGGGAAACACAUGGGAGCCUCAUUGCGUCUGGCACACUAUGUCAAGUCAAACACACGAGCUGAAGAAGUGCCUUGCUUUUGCUCAAUUAGGACUGUUUGCUUUGUGGACCUCCAUUAGCAAGUAUAAAUUUGUACAGUGGUCACCAUUUAAAAAUCAAUAUUUACCAAGGGUUAUCACAUCAUCAAGCCUAGGACACUAAGUAGUUCCGUAAACUUUGAGUAGAAAAUAAUACUGCGAUCUGGUAAAUAUUUAACACACGUAUCAUUUUAUGGUAACCACUACUUUUGAUACAGGUGUUCAUUACCUCUUCCUAGCUAAACCCUCCAUUAAAUUACAUUGCACUGGACUUAGGCUUCACUUCAGCCAGAUUUCAGUUAAAGGAAGUGGGAAGAAAAAUACAAUGAAACUGACUUUAUAAUGAAUAUAAUGAAAAUAACUGUAAUGAAUAAUCACUUUAAUUUUUGAUGCCCUCUUAUCCCAAAGCAUAUGAUUCAGCAGGGAUUCUCUGUGGAAGUACUGAAUAGAUGGCUAAAAUAGAUCUAGGUAAAAAGAACUCAGGUUCCUUUUUCCUCUGGGUGUAGUAGGGUAUUUUCUGUUUGGCAAGGAAGGCUCCCCAGUAGCUAGCUACACUGUCCAGUUUCUUUCAGUAUAACCACCCUUCCUUUGAUGUGGAAGUAACAGAUGUUUAAGACAUAAGAAAUUAGAUAGACUGUGAUUACUGAGAAACAAGUUAAUUUCAAUUCAUUACUUGAUGUUCUCAUUCACUUGUUCUGAAAAUGACAGUAGUUAGUAGGGUUGUUGGUUUUUUUAAUUGACAUAUUUUAUGUUUAACAAUCAACUUAAACUUAACCUAUGCACACCUCUAAUUUUGAAACACAUCAUUUGCGAGCUAAUAUGUUACUUUUUCAUCGUAAAUUGGAGUUAUUUCCAAAAUGGCUUCACUUUAAUUAUAUGUACGUGUACAACUUAGCCAGCUUGUUUUCUUGUGGGUAGUAAGAAGAGGUAAGGAGAACACAGGAAGUAACAGAUUAGUUUUUCCUCUUUUCACAAAACAAGUUUCAUUCCCCCUCCAGUUUCCUAAAAAAAGAGGUGUUUCAGAAAAGCCAGAGGAAGGGCUUGGCAGGGGAAGGAUUAAGUUUGGGUUUUUCUGCUGGAAAGGAAUAAGUAUGAUUAGGAAACUGUCUUAGAUAGCUCAUUAGCUUUCAAAUAUUGGAUGUGUUUGGUUGAUGAAGGUAUUAAUGUUCACACAAGUACUGUAAUGCAUUUGAC